rnacentral:rRNA from 1 species
CAGUCGCCGCGGGAAUACAGAGGGUGCGAGCGUUAAUCGGAUUUACUGGGCGUAAAGCGUGCGUAGGCGGCUUUUCAAGUCGGAUGUGAAAUCCCUGAGCUUAACUUAGGAAUUGCAUUCGAUACUGGGAAGCUAGAGUAUGGGAGAGGAUGGUAGAAUUCCAGGUGUAGCGGUGAAAUGCGUAGAGAUCUGGAGGAAUACCGAUGGCGAAGGCAGCCAUCUGGCCUAAUACUGACGCUGAGGUACGAAAGCAUGGGGAGCAAACAGGAUUAGAUACCCCAGUAGUCCCUGUCUCUUAUAC